CUCCCUCAUUCAGUAAGGGGCCCACACUUUCUUUGACUUUCUUCUUGUUGCUAACAUAGAUGGGGAGGAUGCUGCUUGUGCAGCACUAUGGGGAUUAGAAAACUGUAUGCAAAUUGAGUGUUUAAUAGAGUUAACACUGUCCUUUCCCUUUAGCUUAUCACAGGCCAGACAGGAGUGUGGAGAUCCGGUCUGCAUUUUACUCUCCUCUCUGCAGCUCAGCAAUCAACAGCAUCUACAUCCACAGCUUUCUGGAGCAUCUGAAUGGGCUAGUGAGGAAUCUCAGCUGUGAGGUCUUUGAAAAAUACACUAAGUGCAUCCGGCCCUCGCAAGAAAGGAACCACUCUGAAGUAUGGAUGACUGUGCUGAUGUUUCCUUAUGGAGUCAUGUGGGAAAUUCAUUGCCCGCCAGAAAGUACGAGCAAAAACUGUGAACAAGACAUCGAGGAUCGCUCUAAAGAGGCCUAUGAGAGAAUUCAUCGCUCCAUCGAGGGGCUGAAUGAGUUUCAGAUCCGUGAGGGGAAUCUGCCUCCUUUGCACUACAAAGCUGGGUCACUUCUGGCCUAUAAGGUGGAUCAUUGUAAGCCAGGGUUUGGUAAAAUUAACACUACAGACGGGUGUUCCAACUGUUGCAGUAAGUCAAUUGUCAAAAAUCUUCCCACCCAAACCCAUCAGUGGGGCACAAUCCGCACUGGGGAUUGUUCCUAUCACAGACUUCACACUGGAGUCACUUUUGUUAUACUAAUGGCUAGAAAUGGAGAUGAAGAUGCAGUUAUUCUUAAACACACCAUGUAAAAAUUAAUUACAAGUAUAUAGAGGCCGUAGGAAAAUGUUGUACACACAAAACAUUUCUUUUCUUGAUGAGCCAUGGGAUAUCCAUUAAUAAGAUGCUCUUUCCUGCACCGGCUCCAUCACUCUAAUCUUUAACCCUGAUAGGAAUCCUCAAUCUGAGUCUCUGACCCUGACCCCAAAUGUCACUGCAUCUCUUCUUUUAAUGGUUUUACAGUUGCUUGUUCCCCAGGGCUGUACAGCUCACUGAAUACAGUCACAUGUGCCACUUGCCCCCUGGGUUCUUACAAUGAGCAUUAUGGGAAGACAGAGUGUGAGACCUGCACAAGGAGCUUGGUGACCUAUCACAAAGGGGCUACAUCCAGUGAAGACUGUGGUGAGUAGUGAGGGCUUUCCUAGUCCAGCAAGUAAUGCUUCUGUAAUGACAGUAAAGCAUGCUUCCUAACAGGAAGUAGGCUGGUGCAGCUCAGACAGGAGGAAUCAUUCCCAGCUGAUAGCAUCUUAGCACAGUUUCUGCUGUCUCUGUGGCUCACCUGUUAGAGUGAUACAGCAACCUAUGAGUUGCAAGAUAUGGUGACAUAGAGAGCGCAGCUUCUGAGCGCUGCUCACGUUUGGUGUCUGGAUCCCAGUUGUCAUACAUCGUCAGACAAUGCUGGGAGCUCCAGCUCCAAGUUCCUGUCUGUGAGGUUACCCUUUCCAUGCUGGUCCCAGCAGCUAGGCUAGGUAGAGCCUACAGAAACCCAAGCCACUUAGUUUGUUCACCCUUACCUUUUACAAGUCUCCCAAGCUAGUCUUCCAUGCAUUGAGAGUUGCAGAAAUCCAUCAGGCAUUGAUCUCCACUUCUGGUAAUGCUGCUGUAUCUAUUUCAGUCCCUGCCAUCUCGCGUCUGGUGCUGCUGCUGUGUGUAUUCACCUUUGGAGUCACACCAUCCAUCCUCUUUGUUUCAGUGUACAUUGUCAUGCGAUUGUUUUUUCCUCGGACAAAGUUGGGCAAAGCCCUGCUCCACAAGGAGCUGGAGUUCCUGCACAAAGUGACUCUGUGUGACGGGAAUACAUCUAAGAAGCCAGGCGAAGAAUCCAAGAGACCAAGGAAGUGGGAAAAUUCGUCCCAGCCUUUCCAAGCUGCCCCAAAUGCUGUGGGGCCAUUCCCUGGGCCAGAAGCUCCACCACCAGAGAUUUAAGCCUCACUCUGGUCUUAGGCACAGUUGUGUGUCUUUGCAGGAAAUUGAAACAAAAUUUUCAAAAGUGUAGAGAAAUUUCAGUCCAAAUAAAUCUAAAGAAAAUCAU